GGGAGGCAGCAGUGGGGAAUAUUGCACAAUGGGCGAAAGCCUGAUGCAGCGACGCCGCGUGAGGGAUGACGGCCUUCGGGUUGUAAACCUCUUUCAGCAGGGAAGAAGCGAAAGUGACGGUACCUGCAGAAGAAGCGCCGGCUAACUACGUGCCAGCAGCCGCGGUAAUACGUAGGGCGCAAGCGUUGUCCGGAAUUAUUGGGCGUAAAGAGCUCGUAGGCGGCUUGUCACGUCGAUUGUGAAAGCUCGGGGCUUAACCCCGAGUCUGCAGUCGAUACGGGCUAGCUAGAGUGUGGUAGGGGAGAUCGGAAUUCCUGGUGUAGCGGUGAAAUGCGCAGAUAUCAGGAGGAACACCGGUGGCGAAGGCGGAUCUCUGGGCCAUUACUGACGCUGAGGAGCGAAAGCGUGGGGAGCGAACAGGAUUAGAUACCCUGGUAGUCCACGCCGUAAACGGUGGGAACUAGGUGUUGGCGACAUUCCACGUCGUCGGUGCCGCAGCUAACGCAUUAAGUUCCCCGCCUGGGGAGUACGGCCGCAAGGCUAAAACUCAAAGGAAUUGACGGGGGCCCGCACAAGCGGCGGAGCAUGUGGCUUAAUUCGACGCAACGCGAAGAACCUUACCAAGGCUUGACAUACACCGGAAAGCAUUAGAGAUAGUGCCCCCCUUGUGGUCGGUGUACAGGUGGUGCA
rnacentral:rRNA from 1 species